UUUGAUCCUGGCUCAGAUUGAACGCUGGCGGCAGGCCUAACACAUGCAAGUCGAGCGGCAGCACAGAGGAACUUGUUCCUUGGGUGGCGAGCGGCGGACGGGUGAGUAAUGCCUGGGAAAUUGCCCUGAUGUGGGGGAUAACCAUUGGAAACGAUGGCUAAUACCGCAUGAUGCCUACGGGCCAAAGAGGGGGACCUUCGGGCCUCUCGCGUCAGGAUAUGCCCAGGUGGGAUUAGCUAGUUGGUGAGGUAAUGGCUCACCAAGGCGACGAUCCCUAGCUGGUCUGAGAGGAUGAUCAGCCACACUGGAACUGAGACACGGUCCAGACUCCUACGGGAGGCAGCAGUGGGGAAUAUUGCACAAUGGGCGCAAGCCUGAUGCAGCCAUGCCGCGUGUAUGAAGAAGGCCUUCGGGUUGUAAAGUACUUUCAGUCGUGAGGAAGGUUGUAGUGUGAAUAGCACUAUGAUUUGACGUUAGCGACAGAAGAAGCACCGGCUAACUCCUG
rnacentral:rRNA from 1 species